rnacentral:rRNA from 1 species
CGGGGUGAGUAACGCGUGGGCAACCUGCCUUAUACAGGGGGAUAACAGCUGGAAACAGCUGCUAAUACCGCAUAAGCGCACAGCGGCGCAUGACGCAGUGUGAAAAACUGAGGUGGUAUAAGAUGGGCCCGCGUCUGAUUAGCUGGUUGGGAGGGUAACGGCCUACCAAGGCGACGAUCAGUAGCCGGCCUGAGAGGGCGGACGGCCACAUUGGGACUGAGACACGGCCCAGACUCCUACGGGAGGCAGCAG